AGAGUUUGAUCAUGGCUCAGAGUGAACGCUGGCGGCAGGCCUAAUACAUGCAAGUCGAACGGCAGCACAGCAGAGCUUGCUCUGUGGGUGGCGAGUGGCGGACGGGUGAGGAAUACGUGGGAAUCUGCCCAGUCGUGGGGGAUAACGUAGGGAAACUUACGCUAAUACCGCAUGCGCCCUUCGGGGGGAAAGCCGGGGGACCUUCGGGCCUGGCGCGAUUGGAUGAGCCCACGUCGGAUUAGCUAGUUGGCGGGGUAAAGGCCCACCAAGGCGACGAUCCGUAGCUGGUCUGAGAGGAUGAUCAGCCACACUGGAACUGAGACACGGUCCAGACUCCUACGGGAGGCAGCAGUAGGGAAUAUUGGACAAUGGGCGCAAGCCUGAUCCAGCCAUGCCGCGUGAGUGAAGAAGGCCCUCGGGUUGUAAAGCUCUUUUGUCCGGAAAGAAAAGCGCCGGGUUAAUACCCUGGUGUCCUGACGGUACCGGAAGAAUAAGCACCGGCUAACUUCGUG
rnacentral:rRNA from 1 species